rnacentral:rRNA from 1 species
UACGUAGGGUGCAGGCGUUAAUCGGAAUUACUGGGCGUAAAGCGUGCGCAGGCGGCUUCGCAAGUCAGGCGUGAAAUCCCCGGGCUUAACCUGGGAAUGGCGUCUGAAACUACGGAGCUGGAGUGUGGCAGAGGGAGGUAGAAUUCCACGUGUAGCGGUGAAAUGCGUAGAUAUGUGGAGGAAUACCGAUGGCGAAGGCAGCCUCCUGGGCCAACACUGACGCUCAUGCACGAAAGCGUGGGGAGCAAACAGG